rnacentral:rRNA from 1 species
CAGUAGCCACGGUAAUACAGAGGGUGCGAGCGUUAAUCGGAUUUACUGGGCGUAAAGCGUGCGUAGGCGGCUUCUUAAGUCGGAUGUGAAAUCCCCGGGCUCAACCUGGGAACUGCAUUUGUGACUGUAUAGCUAGAGUACGGCAGAGGGGGAUGGAAUUCCGCGUGUAGCAGUGAAAUGCGUAGAUAUGCGGAGGAACACCGAUGGCGAAGGCAAUCCCCUGGGCCUGUACUGACGCUCAUGCACGAAAGCGUGGGGAGCAAACAGGAUUAGAUACCCCGGUAGUCCCUGUCUCUUAUAA